rnacentral:rRNA from 1 species
AGAGUUUGAUCCUGGCUCAGAAUGAACGCUGGCGGCAUGGAUUAGGCAUGCAAGUCGAACGCUCUCUUCGGAGAGAGUGGCGAAAGGGUGAGUAACGCGUGAGUGAUCUGCCCCCAAGUUUGGAAUAACUGUUGGAAACGACAGCUAAUACCGGAUGUGAAUACUUAGUCGCAUGACUUAGUAUUUAAAGGUUUACUGCUUGGGGAUGAGCUCGCGUCCCAUUAUGCUAGUUGGUAAGGUAACGGCUUACCAAGGCUAUGACGGGUAGGUGGUCUGAGAGGAUGGUCACCCACACUGGGACUGAGAUACUGCCCAGACUCCUGCGGGAGGCUGCAGUCGAGAAUCUUCCGCAAUGCGCGAAAGCGUGACGGAGCAAUGCCGCGUGAAGGAUGAAGGCUUUCGGGUCGUAAACCUCUGUCAGAAGGGAAAAACAUUGAUUGUACCUUCAGAGGAAGCCACGGCUAACUACGUGCCAGCAGCCGCGGUAAUACGUAGGUGGCGAGCGUUAUUCGGAUUUACUGGGCGUAAAGGGUCCGUAGGGGGAUAUCUAAGUCAGAUGUGAAAUUUCAAGGCUCAACCUUGAACCUGCAUUUGAAACUGGGUAUCUAGAGUUCGGUAGAGGUAAGUGGAAUUUGUGGUGUAGCGGUGGAAUGCGUAGAUAUCACAAGGAACAUCAAAGGCGAAAGCAGCUUACUGGGCCUGAACUGACCCUGAGGGACGAAAGCUAAGGUAGCGAAAAGGAUUAGAUACCCUUGUAGUCUUAGCCGUAAACGUUGUACACUCGAUGUCGGGGGAAUUAGCCCCUUCGGUGUCUAAGCUAACGCGAUAAGUGUACCGCCUGGGAAGUACGGUCGCAAGACUAAAACUCAAAGGAAUUGACGGGGGCCCGCACAAGCGGUGGAGCAUGUGGCUUAAUUCGAGGCAACGCGAAGAACCUUACCUGGGUUUGACAUAUACCUGACCGCAAUCGAAAGGUUGUUUCUCUUCGGAGUAGGUAUACAGGUGCUGCAUGGCUGUCGUCAGCUCGUGCCGUGAGGUGUUCGGUUAAGUCCGGCAACGAGCGCAACCCAUAUCUUUAGUUGCUAACAGGUAAUGCUGAGGACUCUAGAGAGACUGCCCGAGUCAAUCGGGAGGAAGGCGUGGACGACGUCAAGUCAGUAUGGCCCUUACACCCAGGGCUGCACACGUGCUACAAUGGCCACUACAGAAGGCAGCAAUACCGCGAGGUGGAGCUAAUCCGAGAAAAGUGGCCCCAGUUCGGAUUGGAGUCUGCAACUCGACUCCAUGAAGUCGGAAUCGCUAGUAAAGGCGUAUCAGCUACGACGCCUUGAAUACGUUCCCGGGCCUUGUACACACCGCCCGU